rnacentral:rRNA from 1 species
GGUCCGGACACACUGAGGAUUGACAGGAAGUAUCGUCUUUUGAAUUCUUUAAGGAUAUGUCGUUUUUAAUGACAUCUUUUAGAUGGAUGAUUCGUGUAAAUAUGCUAGUUCUUUCAUGAUUAUGUGAUAGGUGGUGCAUGGCCGUUCUUAGUUCGUGGAGUGAUCUGUCUGCUUAAUUGCGUUUCACUAAGGCCCCAAAGUUAGCAAAUUAUCAAUCGUUACAGAGUCGACCCCUCACCUUUGAGUGCGCGUCCUAACUUGUAGUACAUGGUGUAAAUGGAUUUGUUUUGGGUACCCAGAAAGCAACGAACGUGACCGCAACGUCUUGUUGUCUCUCUUUUGACAGUUAUGGGUUAUCCCAGUCAUGUGUUUAUACUUUUAUGUGUAAAUACGUACGACACAGAGACUAGAUACCAAACUAGGCGUACCGCUGUAUCAUUUCUUUAAACCAGAGGAAGGUUGCGGCAAUAACAG